GACGAACCGAGCGAACGUUGUUCGGAAUCACUGGGCUUAAAGGGCGCGUAGGCGGGCUGUCAAGUUUGGGGUGAAAUCCCGCGGCUCAACCGCGGAACUGCCUCAAAUACUGACGGUCUCGAGGGAGGUAGGGGCGAGCGGAACUGAUGGUGGAGCGGUGAAAUGCGUUGAUAUCAUCAGGAACUCCGGUGGCGAAGGCGGCUCGCUGGACCUCUUCUGACGCUGAGGCGCGAAAGCCAGGGGAGCAAACGGG
rnacentral:rRNA from 1 species